rnacentral:rRNA from 1 species
GGGUUGUGAGGUUAAGCGACUAAGCGUACACGGUGGAUGCCCUGGCAGUCAGAGGCGAUGAAGGACGUGCUAAUCUGCGAUAAGCGUCGGUAAGGUGAUAUGAACCGUUAUAACCGGCGAUUUCCGAAUGGGGAAACCCAGUGUGUUUCGACACACUAUCAUUAACUGAAUCCAUAGGUUAAUGAGGCGAACCGGGGGAACUGAAACAUCUAAGUACCCCGAGGAAAAGAAAUCAACCGAGAUUCCCCCAGUAGCGGCGAGCGAACGGGGAGGAGCCCAGAGCCUGAAUCAGUGUGUGUGUUAGUGGAAGCGUCUGGAAAGGCGCGCGAUACAGGGUGACAGCCCCGUACACAAAAAUGCACAUGCUGUGAGCUCGAUGAGUAGGGCGGGACACGUGGUAUCCUGUCUGAAUAUGGGGGGACCAUCCUCCAAGGCUAAAUACUCCUGACUGACCGAUAGUGAACCAGUACCGUGAGGGAAAGGCGAAAAGAACCCCGGCGAGGGGAGUGAAAAAGAACCUGAAACCGUGUACGUACAAGCAGUGGGAGCACGCUUAGGCGUGUGACUGCGUACCUUUUGUAUAAUGGGUCAGCGACUUAUAUUCUGUAGCAAGGUUAACCGAAUAGGGGAGCCGAAGGGAAACCGAGUCUUAACUGGGCGUUAAGUUGCAGGGUAUAGACCCGAAACCCGGUGAUCUAGCCAUGGGCAGGUUGAAGGUUGGGUAACACUAACUGGAGGACCGAACCGACUAAUGUUGAAAAAUUAGCGGAUGACUUGUGGCUGGGGGUGAAAGGCCAAUCAAACCGGGAGAUAGCUGGUUCUCCCCGAAAGCUAUUUAGGUAGCGCCUCGUGAAUUCAUCUCCGGGGGUAGAGCACUGUUUCGGCAAGGGGGUCAUCCCGACUUACCAACCCGAUGCAAACUGCGAAUACCGGAGAAUGUUAUCACGGGAGACACACGGCGGGUGCUAACGUCCGUCGUGAAGAGGGAAACAACCCAGACCGCCAGCUAAGGUCCCAAAGUCAUGGUUAAGUGGGAAACGAUGUGGGAAGGCCCAGACAGCCAGGAUGUUGGCUUAGAAGCAGCCAUCAUUUAAAGAAAGCGUAAUAGCUCACUGGUCGAGUCGGCCUGCGCGGAAGAUGUAACGGGGCUAAACCAUGCACCGAAGCUGCGGCAGCGACGCUUAUGCGUUGUUGGGUAGGGGAGCGUUCUGUAAGCCUGUGAAGGUGUGCUGUGAGGCAUGCUGGAGGUAUCAGAAGUGCGAAUGCUGACAUAAGUAACGAUAAAGCGGGUGAAAAGCCCGCUCGCCGGAAGACCAAGGGUUCCUGUCCAACGUUAAUCGGGGCAGGGUGAGUCGACCCCUAAGGCGAGGCCGAAAGGCGUAGUCGAUGGGAAACAGGUUAAUAUUCCUGUACUUGGUGUUACUGCGAAGGGGGGACGGAGAAGGCUAUGUUGGCCGGGCGACGGUUGUCCCGGUUUAAGCGUGUAGGCUGGUUUUCCAGGCAAAUCCGGAAAAUCAAGGCUGAGGCGUGAUGACGAGGCACUACGGUGCUGAAGCAACAAAUGCCCUGCUUCCAGGAAAAGCCUCUAAGCAUCAGGUAACAUCAAAUCGUACCCCAAACCGACACAGGUGGUCAGGUAGAGAAUACCAAGGCGCUUGAGAGAACUCGGGUGAAGGAACUAGGCAAAAUGGUGCCGUAACUUCGGGAGAAGGCACGCUGAUACGUAGGUGAAGUCCCUCGCGGAUGGAGCUGAAAUCAGUCGAAGAUACCAGCUGGCUGCAACUGUUUAUUAAAAACACAGCACUGUGCAAACACGAAAGUGGACGUAUACGGUGUGACGCCUGCCCGGUGCCGGAAGGUUAAUUGAUGGGGUUAGCGCAAGCGAAGCUCUUGAUCGAAGCCCCGGUAAACGGCGGCCGUAACUAUAACGGUCCUAAGGUAGCGAAAUUCCUUGUCGGGUAAGUUCCGACCUGCACGAAUGGCGUAAUGAUGGCCAGGCUGUCUCCACCCGAGACUCAGUGAAAUUGAACUCGCUGUGAAGAUGCAGUGUACCCGCGGCAAGACGGAAAGACCCCGUGAACCUUUACUAUAGCUUGACACUGAACAUUGAGCCUUGAUGUGUAGGAUAGGUGGGAGGCUUUGAAGUGUGGACGCCAGUCUGCAUGGAGCCGACCUUGAAAUACCACCCUUUAAUGUUUGAUGUUCUAACGUUGACCCGUAAUCCGGGUUGCGGACAGUGUCUGGUGGGUAGUUUGACUGGGGCGGUCUCCUCCUAAAGAGUAACGGAGGAGCACGAAGGUUGGCUAAUCCUGGUCGGACAUCAGGAGGUUAGUGCAAUGGCAUAAGCCAGCUUGACUGCGAGCGUGACGGCGCGAGCAGGUGCGAAAGCAGGUCAUAGUGAUCCGGUGGUUCUGAAUGGAAGGGCCAUCGCUCAACGGAUAAAAGGUACUCCGGGGAUAACAGGCUGAUACCGCCCAAGAGUUCAUAUCGACGGCGGUGUUUGGCACCUCGAUGUCGGCUCAUCACAUCCUGGGGCUGAAGUAGGUCCCAAGGGUAUGGCUGUUCGCCAUUUAAAGUGGUACGCGAGCUGGGUUUAGAACGUCGUGAGACAGUUCGGUCCCUAUCUGCCGUGGGCGCUGGAGAACUGAGGGGGGCUGCUCCUAGUACGAGAGGACCGGAGUGGACGCAUCACUGGUGUUCGGGUUGUCAUGCCAAUGGCACUGCCCGGUAGCUAAAUGCGGAAGAGAUAAGUGCUGAAAGCAUCUAAGCACGAAACUUGCCCCGAGAUGAGUUCUCCCUGACUCCUUGAGAGUCCUGAAGGAACGUUGAAGACGACGACGUUGAUAGGCCGGGUGUGUAAGCGCAGCGAUGCGUUGAGCUAACCGGUACUAAUGAACCGUGAGGCUUAACCUUACAACGCCGAAG